rnacentral:lncRNA from 1 species
AACAGUUGAUAAAGGACAGCUAGUUGGUGAAGAUCCUCAUUUGGUCAGGGUCAGGUUUAAAUCAUCUUGGCCACCUGUCCUCAGUACAGAAAGGCAGUCCUAAAGUGGGGGACUCAGGAAAGCAGAGCCAUGGGGACAGUAUGGACUCUCAAGCAGUCCUUUGUGAAUCGGUCAGCUUGGCAAUUUAGUGCAUGCCUUCCGGAUGGGCAUCAGGGACAGCCAGCUGACCAAGGCAGCCCUUCCUGCCUGAGAAGUCCCACUGGAGUGGGAAUGACUCUCGGCCAGGUUCUUGAUGCCACACUGGUCUAUCUGGUUGUAAGCUGACUCUGAGACUGUGACCAGGAGCUGGACCCCUGCCUCUGGGUGAGGAAACUGCAGAGUGAGGCUGAGGGUUAUCGCUCUCAUGAGCCUGUGAUUUAGGGUGCGUUCCAGCUCCAGUAUCCAACCAGAGUCUGAGUCAAGGGAACUAGUGCACAAUCUAGGCAUAUGAAACACCUGCUCACGGCCUGGAACUCUAGAUCUCCAGGGUGAGUUUGAGUCCAUGUCUGUGUUUGGAUGAGUGUGCGUCAGGGAAUUGGAGCGACAAAGCAGAACUUCACUGUGACGGGUUGGGUCCCUAGGAUUGGCUAUUCCUGAAUCAUGAGCCAGGCUAGGAAGAGAAGUGAUGGAUAGACUCACAAAAAUCUGAUUGGAGCAGAACAGGAGCAAUUCCCCUGAAGGAAAGGGUAAAGUUCUUUCAUAAAAAGCUGGAUGUGGUGGCACACCCCUGUAAUCUCAGCACUCAAGAGACUGAGGAAGGUGGAUCUCCAUGAGUUCAAGGCUAGCCUGGGCUACAUAGUGAGACCCUGGCUCAAAGACAAAAACAAUAGCAACAACAAAAACCAUAAAAACAGAAAAAUGUUGCCCGGCUUAAUGGCACAUGCCUGUAAUCCUAGCACUUAGGAGACUGAGACAGGAGGAUCUCUGCAAGUUUGAGGCCAGCUUGGGCUACAUAAUGAGUUCAAGACCAGCCUGAACUACUUAGUGAGACCCUGACUCAAAAAACAAAAACAAACAAACAAAAUCUAAGAGGGGGGUAGGUGCUGGGCAGAGGCAAGACAGCAGACGUCUUUUACAAUUCCUAAUCUCUUCAGGCUCAGCUCAGUUGUCCGUUCCUGAUGCCCCCGUCCCUCUGGUGGGUUAGGUGUCCCUCUCCUGGCUCACAUUACCUCCCAGUUGCACUGCUGUGCCUGGGCUCAUUUCCAAUUGUUUCUUUAUGCACGAGCUCUUCCAAGACAGGUGCCAUGGCUUAUUCCAAUUUGCACAACCAGGCUCUCAGGUUCCAUGAAUGUUCAUAAAGCAGGACCGAAAGGGAUUCCCAAGUGACUGAAAAUCCUCUUCAGAGAAAGACGAAAGAGCGUCCUAAACGUACAAGGACCAGGGCUUUACCCAUAGUCACACCAAAGGAAUGCUGAAAGAAGCUCUGGAGGUUUACAUACUUUGCAAUUCCCCAUGUUUCUACAGUAUAAAGAGAAACUGUGUUUGUACACUCUUGCACCAAGUUUAGCAGAAAACUUUUCUUUGGGGCUCUUCUAUGGGGUUGAAGUUCUCCAUGUAUGAACAAUACCUAUGCAUAUCAGGUCUGCUCAUUCUACACGCUGCAUGGACUUAGGGGAGUAUCUUUAUAUGUGGAUCUGUAAAUACACCGCUCAUAUCAUAAUUUGCUCCUGUGUCAAAGGCUUCUUGUCCUGCAGUGAACCAAUACAAGUCGCUUUCAUGUCCACUGUUCUAUGGUGAUCAUAGGGUGAUUCUGACUUGGGUUUAAUAGUUGCCCCAGAGCAACGCUGCUGUCACUUUCUCCCCAGUCAUCUUCAUCUUCAGAAGGGCAGACCAACCCCCAGGCUGUUGUGGGUCAGCAUCCCUGGUGUGUGUGCCACAAGUGGGAUGUUGCUUGCAGAUGUACGGAAGCCCAGCUGCACACACUUCCUGGAGGCCACUUUCACUGGAUCCUGGGCACUCCAGGGAAGAGCAUACUGUUUGCUUGAUGGAAAUACAAGAUACCCUGCCAGGACCAACUGGGGACCUCUUGGUCAUUCCAUCAAUGAGACUUGUCUGGCCUCUUUGGCCGUUUCCAAGAUUAGCAGUCUCUGAGAAGGGCUAGGAGGAGGUAGGGCACAGGUUCCAUAAGGCUCUCAGCCACUGAU